rnacentral:rRNA from 1 species
UUCCUACGGGGGGCAGCAGUGAGGAAUAUUGGUCAAUGGCCGAGAGGCUGAACCAGCCAAGUCGCGUGAGGGAUGACGGCCCUACGGGUUGUAAACCUCUUUUGUCGGGGAGCAAGACCCGCCACGAGUGGCGGAGCGAGAGUACCCGAAGAAAAAGCAUCGGCUAACUCCGUGCCAGCAGCCGCGGUAAUACGGAGGAUGCGAGCGUUAUCCGGAUUUAUUGGGCGUAAAGCGAGUGCAGGCGGUUCAAUAAG